UUCUGAUGGAUGAAAUUGGUGGCGCUAGUUGUGAUGAAUUGCGCAUUAAAAUGCGCGAUGAGCCAGUCGUCCAUUUUUACAUUUUUAUCAAUUUUUUUUUUUUUAUUUGAGGGCCAAACCAGCAAAGGGAUUUCAUUAUGCUGUUGUUGAAUAAAGGGGAGGUUAGCUGUACAUAUAGCUUGGCGUCUUCAAAUUUUUAAUAACACGUGGUGAAUUUUAUAAAAAUUACAUCUUAAAAAUUUUAGAAUUAAUAAAAAUCUACCAACAUCAUAUCAAGAUAUACCAAAGCGGAGAAAAAGAAAUUAAACUAGUCAAUUAUAAAUAAAUAUAAAAAAUAAGUUAUUGUAAC
rnacentral:misc_RNA from 1 species